GUCACCAGAGACUGAGAAGCAGAAUGAGGUCACACUUCCUGUUGGGCUCACAGCAGUGGCAUUCACGCCCAGGAGGAUGGUGAAACCUCCAGUCUUCUGGACCAGCGACAGGCUUACACGCUUUGAAGAAGCAAGCUGCCAUGUUGGAAAAGCACACAAGACCAGAAUCUGAGGGGUUAUCUGAAAUGCCAGUGAAGGACUGAAGCCCUCAGUCCGAUGGCUGGGAAUCCACUCAACCGCCACCGGCAAACACAAGGCGGAUGCAAAGCAGGUCGUCAGAAGAUGCGUGUGUUCAUGGAGUCACAGAGCAUGAAACGACUACCCUCAGAGACGCCAGUGACUGGAAAUACGUGUUCCUGUGACUGGUGACAGAGAAACAUCAAGAAAUACCUGGCAUUGGUAUAUCGAUUAUAAUUUGCAAAACGUGUAAGAUUUGUUCUAUCGAAUUCGAUGUUCAUCACAACCCUGUGAAGUAGAUUUCCAACUCCCAUUUCUAUGUGAGGAAAGGAGCAUCAGAGAAGGGUCUGGUUCCCAAACACUCUGGUAAAAGUGUCAGGUUUAACUGAAUGACUCCUGGUUUUAUUCCAAACCCCUUGGCUCUAGAAUGCUUCAUCAUCUUAAAUUGCUAUAAAAAAAAAAAUAAUAGCAAGAAAUGAGUUAACGCAUGGAUUUCCUUUAAACGUAUAUGGUCUCCUGUGAUCUUCCUGCUACCUGUAGUUUUAAAAAAGAAAAGAAAGAAAACCGAAGGGUGUUUACUCUGAUCCUGAGGAAACGAACUCUGUUGAAUGUUUUGCAAAAAUACAAAAGAGGAAGUAAUCCAAUACCUGACCACAACUCGGUGUGGCUGCAAUAUUUUUUUACCGAGGCAAGCCAGUCAACUGUGGCCAUGCUUGUACAGGCAAGUUCUCUGCCCCUCCCCCAGAGGGGAACCUUUUCAUCUGCGCGUCAGGCGUUUACUUUGGAGACGGUGGCAGUGUGUUCGGGUCCCGACCAAGAGAGCAGACGCUUAGACCAAUGGCCAAGGGACCGGCUAGAGCACAUACUCUGACCCUGCACAUUCUUGCAUGCUGACAGUCAACGUUGUAGCCAACCCACCUGUUUGUGUGUCUGUUUCACUGCCCAGUUCAGUGCCUCAGGAUGGGGAAUUAAGCCUAUUUAUCGUCAGCUCCUGGGGCCUAGCACUGACUUGGCCCAUAUUCCAUAAAUGCCUGUGGCAAGGAAAUGGAAGCAGAAUGAUAUGUUUUACUUGCCAGAGCCUGAAUCGAAGCUAUGAAGAACUAGAAGGCGAUAAUAAUUUUAGAAUCUGCAUGGGCUUCUUGUUUGCAGCUUACUCCUCCGCAAAGUGUUUUCCAAAUGCCGCUUCCUCUCUGCAGUCUUCCUUGAUUUGCGGAGCCAGCAGAAGCAUACCAAGAUAUGUCUAUUUCAAACCAAUGAAUAUUUAAUUGAAUGUUAAUAUUGAUACCGGGCCUGGUUGUUUCUAUACCCAUCGCCCCAUCAUGACAAGUUACCUUAGAACUGGAUACCUGGUUUUAUUUUUCUUCCUGUUCUCUCACUGUGUAUUGCCCAGUUCCUAGCACUCGGUAGAAUUUCAGUAAAAGAGUGUUGGGUGAUUACACAAAUAAAUGAAUAAGGGAAGAAUGAAAGCAUGCCGUCUGCCUUAUCUGAGCAUGCCACCGAAUUGUAGCUAGCUCCGUUCUCAAGGAAAAUGACGAUCGGCAAGAGGUUAAAAGCGUUUGCUGUUUGAUUACUAUUUAUCUGUGUACUUGCUAUUUUCUGUUGCCCACCCUCUCCGUUCCCAGUUUUAACCAUCCCCGGCAGUGGGGUGUCUGGGCGGCUCAGUUGGCUAAGCAGCUGACUCUUGACCUUGGCUCAAGUCAUGAUCUCAUGGUUCCUGGGACUGAGCCCCAUGUCAGGCUCUGUACUGACAGUGCAGAGCCUGCUUGGGAUUCUGUUUCUCCCUCUCUCUCUGCUCUAACUCCUCAAAAAAAAAUAAGUAAACUUAGAAAGAAAAAACCCCCACAACAAUCCCCAGCAAUGUGUUUCUACAGUGUAGAGACUGCCUCUAAAAGCAAACACCUAAGGAAUCGGGAACGUGAAUGUUGAGUCAAUCCCUUACUAGAUUUGCUUUCCUGGUUUUGCAAACCAGGACAAGCAUUGUCAGUUCCGUCGCAUGGCUGUAAGUUGUAACUUGGAGUUCCGGUCAGUAUAAGCCAGUUGAGAGGAGUAUUCGUUGCUUUGCUGUCCAACUUCCAUUCUCUUUCUUUCAAGUAGUGGAGCUCCAACUUUCUUUAAAGGACCUACUCACCCCCAUCUCUCAGUCUAUGAGGUUUGGGCCAGUCUCUACUCCCACUUGCCUGGUUGGGGAUGGGACCCACCUGAUGGCAGUCCAAAUGACUCCCAUGGCCAUCACGCUUGGCUCACAGGUGGGCACCUGACUUAAUUUAGGCCAAUGACAAAGUGACCGCCAGAACUCCUUUUUGCAUCAGGAUGUUGUAAUGACAAGGCUGAAGCUGCUGGGGGCCUGGAGGUGGAUCCUGGGAGUCAAGCUAACCCCUAGGAAGCAGAAUAAAAAGAUGUUGUAAUUUGAUCCCUGAGUUAAACUGCCCCAGAAGGCCGACUGACCCCUUCUUGAUUCCACAAAUACAAACUUCCUUUAUGCUCAUACUUGUUUGCACUAACCUUUCUGUCGCAUGCAACCAAAUGAAUCCCAGCAUGACACAGUUCUGAAACUUCGCGUACGUAAGAAUCAUUUAGGAUGGCUUUGACACCACAGAUUGCUAAUCGCCAAACCUAUGAUG